rnacentral:misc_RNA from 1 species
GUAAUUCUAGGGAAUUUUGCAGAUUUUUGAUAAAUCUGACAGAUUUUUGAUGUGCAUUUAGCAGAAUUUGGCUCUGACCUUACGGUCACCCUGUUGCUCGCCUACAAGUUGAUAACUUCUGUUGGGUUUGCGAGGAGAUCGGACUUUUCAACCAUGAGCCAAAACAUUGCAGUGAGUGACGGGGUCGUGAAGGACAUCCUGCGUGCGGGAGGUCCUACCAAGGUCCAGGCAUUGGAGACCAUCACCGUCCACUGCACUGGUUCCCUCGCUGGCAACCCACCCAAGAAAUUUUGGAGCACAAAAGAUCCUGGACAACAGCCAUUCACCUUCCAGGUCGGCGCGGGAAAAGUGAUCAAAGGAUGGGAUGAAGGCUGCUUGUCGAUGUGCAAAGGAGAGAUUGCUCUUCUCAAGAUCCGCUCUGACAAAGGUUACGGAGCCAAUGGCUUCCCAGCGUGGGGGAUCACUCCAAAUGCGAACCUAGAGUUUGAAAUCGAGAUCCUGUGAGGAGGCGGCCCCCUCAAGCUCUUCCAUAUUGGAACGGGCUGUCUUAAUGUUACCCAUGAUGCAUCACUAAACUAAUACAGAUACUCAACUUCAGUGAUUCAUGUUUCACCAGUUAGCUUUUCACAUCUCUUUUUAAAUCUUUUCGUGAUUCUUGCCAGAUCUAAAAUACAACUUCGUGGAUACGCGGCAGACGCGAUUUCUAAAUCUCAUGCUGCAUGUGAAUAAUUUCCGUGAUCGGUUGUGUUGUUUUUGAAAGAAUCGCUUUUCGUUAUUAUUAAGAGACCAGACAUAGUGUUUGUUACACAAAAUUAUGGUGUGUUUUCAUUUCAUUUUUUUCCAUUACACCUAUUUGUGACCCUCCAGCACAAAACCAGUCACUUGGACCAAUUUUUUGAAAACUGGGAUUUUGAGCUCAUUGGAAAGGACAUUGAAUAUCCUUUCCAAUAAUGUACUGAAUAUGGGAAUCAGACAAAAUCUGACAGAGUUUUUGGCAUUUUCAGAUUCCAAUUUUUUGGCCUGGGAAAGUUUAAAGAAUUGUGAAAUUGGUUGUUAAAGGGAAUAUACAACAUUUGCAAACAUCAAAAACAAAACUACUAAAUCAUUAUGAAAUACCUUACUGGACUGCUAGUGAAUGACAGUCCAGCAUCAGUUUCUAUACACACAAAGCUUCAAACAAGUCAGUGUAAGAAUAUUUGCUAUAAAAUACUAAAUCCCAAAUCCAUCCAUUUCUGAAAUUUAGGCAAAAGCACUUAAAAGUUUCCCAAGGGAACUCGGAAACAACACACAUUUCUAUAAAAAAAAAACAAUCGGCACAAAACUUGGAUGGACAGUCAUCACUAGUCUUGUCCUAAUUUAUUUACACAAAUGUUCAAUAUUCUGAUGUAUUUCUAGGCUGUAUCUCAAAAUAUGGCAGUGUGACUUCUGACUGGUUAUAUGCUGUAGGGUCACAUAUUGCGAUAGGUAAUGCGUUCCCUUGUUUUCAGCAUUCAACCAAUACAAAUGGUUCACAGAUAAAAUGUUUAAAGAAUUGAAAAAGUUCAUUUACUUUAUAGCUCACUCUGUAAUUAUAGUAAACAGAGUAUAGUAAACAGACUAUUUCUGCAUAUUAUUUUGAUGUUGUUUUGAUAUUGGGUGAUUUAAGUAAAUAGAUAAAUCAUUGUGAAAUUUCUAAUCAGUGCCUAGCAAAGAGGAGAACAGAUUAAAAGUAAGAAUUAAAUGAAAA